rnacentral:rRNA from 1 species
CAGCAGCCACGGGAAUACGUAGGGUGCGAGCGUUAAUCGGAAUUAUUGGGCGUAAAGGGUGCGUAGGCGGCUUGACAAGUCUUGUGUGAAAUCUAUGGGCUCAACCCAUAGUCUGCACGGGAAACUGUCGGGCUUGAGAAUGGGAGAGGUGAGUGGAAUUUCCGGUGUAGCGGUGAAAUGCGUAGAUAUCGGAAGGAACACCUGUGGCGAAAGCGGCUCACUGGACCAUUUCUGACGCUGAUGCACGAAAGCUAGGGGAGCAAACAGGAUUAGAUACCCGUGUAGUCCCUGUCUCUUAUAC